UACGUAGGGCGCAAGCGUUGUCCGGAAUUAUUGGGCGUAAAGAGCUCGUAGGCGGCUUGUCACGUCGAUUGUGAAAGCCCGAGGCUUAACCUCGGGUCUGCAGUCGAUACGGGCUAGCUAGAGUGUGGUAGGGGAGAUCGGAAUUCCUGGUGUAGCGGUGAAAUGCGCAGAUAUCAGGAGGAACACCGGUGGCGAAGGCGGAUCUCUGGGCCAUUACUGACGCUGAGAGACGAAAGCUAGGGGAGCGAAUGGG
rnacentral:rRNA from 1 species